AUCUUGGGUAGGAAUAUACUUAGAGUCCAUUUCCAGCUUCCAACUCCAACUGGGCCUGGUCUAGUCAGUAUGGGUAACUGAGUAAUCCUGGAGGAGGUAUCUGAUGGGAUGCACAUGAAGCGUUUGUGGAGAAAGAAGAUGCCAGCCAGCCUUGAGAUGAGCUGAACCAGCCUGCGAUAGGUGCAAUGAUGGAUGUCACAGCCAGAUCAUCUGCACAUCCCACGCGGUGCUAAAUGACAUUCUUGGUAUUUGA